GACGAACGCUGGCGGCGUGCUUAACACAUGCAAGUCGAACGGAAAGGCCCUGCUUUUGUGGGGUGCUCGAGUGGCGAACGGGUGAGUAACACGUGAGUAACCUGCCCUUGACUUUGGGAUAACUUCAGGAAACUGGGGCUAAUACCGGAUAGGAGCUCCUGCUGCAUGGUGGGGGUUGGAAAGUUUCGGCGGUUGGGGAUGGACUCGCGGCUUAUCAGCUUGUUGGUGGGGUAGUGGCUUACCAAGGCUUUGGCGGGUAGCCGGCCUGAGAGGGUGACCGGCCACAUUGGUCCUGCGGUACGGCCCAGACUCCUACGGUAGGCAGCGGUGGGGAAUAUUGCACAAUGGGCGGAAGCCUGAUGCAGCAACGCCGCGUGCGGGAUGACGGCCUUCGGGUUGUAAACCGCUUUCGCCUGUGACGAAGCGUGAGUGACGGUAAUGGGUAAAGAAGCACCGGCUAACUACGUG
rnacentral:rRNA from 1 species